rnacentral:rRNA from 1 species
CAAUAGCGUAUAUUUAAGUUGUUGCAGUUAAAAAGCUCGUAGUUGGAUUUCGGGUGGGACGCAGCGGUCUCGCAUUGCGUUUGUACUGCUGCAGCCCUCCUUCUUGCCGGGGGCGGCCUCUCGGACUUCACUGUCUGGGGGUCAGAAUCGGCGAUGUUACUUUGAGUAAAUUAGAGUGUUCAAAGCAGGCCUUUGCCAUUGUAUGUGUUAGCAUGGGAUAAUGGAAUAGGACUUUGGUGCUAUUUUGUUGGUUUCGAACACCGAGGUAAUGAUUAAUAGGGACAGUCAGGGGCACUCGUAUUCCGUAGAGAGAGGUGAAAUUCUUAGACCCACGGAAGACGAACUACUGCGAANGNAUUUGCNAGGGAUGUUUNCACUG